rnacentral:lncRNA from 1 species
CUUCCCAUGAGGCAGGCAUCUGACCUCCUAGUGAUUAAGACAAGGUCAGACAAGCACGUGUUCGGCUGUUAUGGCUGCCGAAAUGGGGAGCUGGUCCCUUCAGUUUUUCUCAACAGAGUUUCUCUGUGUAACUUUGGAGCCAGCCUGUCCUGGAACUCUCUUUGUAGACCAAGCUGGCCUCGACUCACCGAUAGCCACCUGUUUUUGCCUUCUGAGUGCUGGGAUUAAAGGUGUGCAGUCUUUCCACCCUACAUUUUCUGUAAUGAAGAUUCUGUUUUCUGAGCGAGAAGGCAUAACCAGUCACAGCGUGGUAUCCAGAGAUCACUAGGAUGUAUAAAUGAACAUAGAAGCAUAUACCUAAGAGCAAGUAGAUGAGAAUACAUCUCUGAACAUUCAGGAGCCUGCUUCAGACAGUGUGAGCACUGUCAGAAGCCAAAGGAAGUUGCUUGUGUGAAGCUCUACAAAUACUGGAGAAUAAAGCCAAUAGGUCCUAAAUCAGAGAAUUGCAAGCACAGAUGUCUGGUAACAGGAACUCUAACAUCGGACUCUGACAGCACCAUACACUUGCACAAAGGCCACAGUAACCUUGCCCAGAAAACACUGCUGCACGGAUGUCUGCCCCAAAACUGCCUGCUUAACCUUGGACUGACGCCACCAUUGUUAUUGAUCCUCUUCACCAAGGGCAAGUGUUUCAAAACAACUUCUGUGAGCCUUCCAUUUUGCCUUAAAAGCCCUUGUCUUUUUGUAUCCUUAAUUAUGAGCAUUGUUUAUUAUGGCACAUAACUCCCUGCAAUGACCAUUCCCUUGUAAAUUCAUUGUUUUUGGUGACUCUCUCCUCACUUGUUAUUUUAGGUUGACAAUAGCAAAAGAAAUAUUUAUUUUAUAGUGGGGCAAUUCAAAGGCUGCCCAUGUAUUUAACAUUAGAAAAGUGCAAGCAUGAAUUUUAAGUGUUCUGCUAGGAUCACCCUCACCCUUUGGCUGUAUACACUGAAAUAUUUAUGAGUGAAAUAAUUAGGGUUCUGGUAUUUAAAUCAACAUAAGAAUAAUUCAAGGGGACGAGGGCAGAUGUGUUAGCUUUCUACUACUGCAACAAUGCACGAUAUAUUCCAGUUUAUACCAAGAAAG